GAUGGACCCACAGCCCGGCCCUACAACACACCGUGCACCCGGUACUGCCGGGUCCACCAACCCCCAGCCCCACGUCACCCCAAUGCACCCGGCACCCCCAACCCCACACCAACCCAGUGCACCCAGUACUGCCAGCCCCAUACGCCCCAUCUCACUGGUCCUACCAGCCCCAAAGCAACAUGCCCCACCCCAGAGGGGUGCAGCCACCCAGACCCCCCGCCACCCUCCCCAAACUGCACCAGGGACCAAGCAGCAGCAGCACCAGCCCCUUUGCACAGUCCCCCCCGGUGGGGGGGGACACAGCCACCCCCAGCCCCCUGCUCCAGGGUGGCUCUGCAGGGUUUUACCCCCCCCCUUUACACCCUGCCCGCCACAGCCCCAUGGAGCAGCAGGAGCCUCCGUGACCCGCGGCCACCCCGGGGAACCACCCAAACGCCACCUGCCACCUGGGUGCCACCGAUAAGCGUUAUCGGGGCACAGCCAGGAACCGAUUUCUGCGCUGGGGGAAGGUGCCAAGCCUCUCCCGGGCCCCGCGCCCAUGCCACGGCACCCUGCGACAACACCUGGGGACCCCGUGCAGGGCCGGGGACCCUCGGGGAGCCGCUGGGGCAGGGGGCUGCGGUGGGGAAGGCCGGGCAGGAGCUGAGGGUUAAAGGCCCACGAGUUGUUUUGCAAAGGGGCAGAGGUAGCAGGGCCUGGCCCGGCGCCCAGCACCUGCCCCCAGGCGCUUGUGUGCCGAUAAGGCGGCAGGGUGCAAGGGUAAGAGCGGCGCCGCACGCGCGGCCGCUGCACCCGCAGCCCCCAGGGAGAUGUGGGGCCARGGUGGCGGGUGCCGGGGUGCAAGGCAGCUCCCCCCCCCAGGAUCAGCCCUCGACACCCGUGGGAAGGAGCCUGGGGCUCCACCGCCGCGAUGCCCUGAGCCGCUCGGCCACGGCUAAGCCAGGGCCCCCAGCGCCAAGGCGGCUGCUGGGGCAGGCGCUUCCCCUCCCAGCGCCGAAUCAAAAAUAA
rnacentral:lncRNA from 1 species